AUGGGUGUCCUGACUCAACUCUCCAGCCUUCUGUUCUUCUGGUUCCCAGCUGCCAGCGGGGAGGCUGUGCUCUACCAGACUCCAGCCUACAUCGCUGUACCCCUAGGAGAGAGCAUCUCCAUCACUUGCAGAGCCAAUCAAAGCAUUAGUGAUUACUUAAGCUGGCAUAAGCAGAAACCUGGCCAGGCUCCUAUGAUUCUCAUCUAUGAUGCUGAUAAUCGUCGUAAUGGUGUCCCAGAGAGGUUCACUGCGACUCAAUCUGGGACAGAAUUUGUUUUCACAAUCAGCCAGGUAGAGGCUGAUGAUGCUGCCAUGUAUUACUGCCAGCAGUCUUAUGUGCUUCCUCCCACACUGUUACAGCCCCGGACAUAA